rnacentral:rRNA from 1 species
ACCUGACUGCUAUCGGAUUGAUACUAAGCCAUGCGAGUCAUUGUAGCAAUACAAGGCAUACGGCUCAGUAACGCGUAGUCAACCUAACCUAUGGACGGGAAUAACCUCGGGAAACUGAGAAUAAUGCCCGAUAGAACAUUAUGCCUGGAAUGGUUUAUGUUCCAAAUGAUUUAUCGCCAUAGGAUGGGACUGCGGCCUAUCAGUUUGUUGGUGAGGUAAUGGCCCACCAAGACUAUUACAGGUACGGGCUCUGAGAGGAGUAGCCCGGAGAUGGGUACUGAGACACGGACCCAGGCCCUAUGGGGCGCAGCAGGCGAGAAAACUUUGCAAUGUGCGAAAGCACGACAAGGUUAAUCCGAGUGAUUUCUGCUAAAGAGAUCUUUUGUUAGUCCUAGAAACACUAACGAAUAAGGGGUGGGCAAGUUCUGGUGUCAGCCGCCGCGGUAAAACCAGCACCUCAAGUGGUCAGGAUGAUUAUUGGGCCUAAAGCAUCCGUAGCCGGCUCUGUAAGUUUUCGGUUAAAUCUGUACGCUUAACGUACAGGCUGCCGGGAAUACUGCAGAGCUAGGGAUUGGGAGAGGUAGACGGUACUCGGUAGGAAGUGGUAAAAUGCUUUGAUCUAUCGAUGACCACCUGUGGCGAAGGCGGUCUACUAGAACACGUCCGACGGUGAGGGAUGAAAGCUGGGGGAGCAAACCGGAUUAGAUACCCGGGUAGUCCCAGCUGUAAACUAUGCAAACUCAGUGAUGCAUUGGCUUGUGGCCAAUGCAGUGCUGCAGGGAAGCCGUUAAGUUUGCCGCCUGGGAAGUACGUACGCAAGUAUGAAACUUAAAGGAAUUGGCGGGGGAGCACCACAAGGGGUGAAGCCUGCGGUUC